UACGUAGAGUGCAAGCGUUGUCCGGAAUUAUUGGGCGUAAAGGGUACGCAGGCGGAUAGUAAAGUCAAGCGUGAAAGGUGUCGGCUUAACCGACAGACUGCGUUUGAAACUGAUUAUCUUGAGUGUAACAGAGGAGAGUGGAAUUCCUAGUGUAGUGGUGAAAUACGUAGAUAUUAGGAAGAACACCAGUGGCGAAGGCGACUCUCUGGGUUAACACUGACGCUGAGGUACGAAAGCUGGGGGAGCAAACGGGAUUAGAUACCCGCGUAGU
rnacentral:rRNA from 1 species